rnacentral:misc_RNA from 1 species
AAGAAGAAGAAGAAAGAGAAAAGCAAUUUCAAGAAAGAAGAACCCGUAAUUUAGGGCUUGCCAUGCACCGAGCCAUCAUUGCAGUACCCCUUAGUAGACUUGAAACAUGCCCAAUUGAAAUCAAGCUCUGAUACCACUUGUUAUAAAACAGGAUUCUCAAUUCCAGAGAAAAGCAGAAAUUAGAGGGAGAUAGAGAAAGAAAGGGGAAGGAAAAUAGGAGAAGAAGGUAGACAUAGAGAAAUAGAACUUAGAGAGAAG